AUGAACGCUAGCUACAGGCUUAACACAUGCAAGUCGAGGGGCAUCAGGAAGAAAGCUUGCUUUCUUUGCUGGCGACCGGCGCACGGGUGAGUAACACGUAUCCAACCUGCCCUUUACUCGGGGAUAGCCUUUCGAAAGAAAGAUUAAUACCCGAUAGCAUAAUGAUUCCGCAUGGUUUCAUUAUUAAAGGAUUCCGGUAAAGGAUGGGGAUGCGUUCCAUUAGGUUGUUGGUGAGGUAACGGCCCACCAGGCCUUCGAUGGAUAGGGGUUCUGAGAGGAAGGUCCCCCACAUUGGAACUGAGACACGGUCCAAACUCCUACGGGAGGCAGCAGUGAGGAAUAUUGGUCAAUGGGCGCUAGCCUGAACCAGCCAAGUAGCGUGAAGGAUGAAGGCUCUAUGGGUCGUAAACUUCUUUUAUAUAAGAAUAAAGUGCAGUAUGUAUACUGUUUUGUAUGUAUUAUAUGAAUAAGGAUCGGCUAACUCCGUGCCAGCAGCCGCGGUAAUACGGAGGAUCCGAGCGUUAUCCGGAUUUAUUGGGUUUAAAGGGAGCGUAGGUGGACUGGUAAGUCAGUUGUGAAAGUUUGCGGCUCAACCGUAAAAUUGCAGUUGAUACUGUCAGUCUUGAGUACAGUAGAGGUGGGCGGAAUUCGUGGUGUAGCGGUGAAAUGCUUAGAUAUCACGAAGAACUCCGAUUGCGAAGGCAGCUCACUGGACUGCAACUGACACUGAUGCUCGAAAGUGUGGGUAUCAAACAGGAUUAGAUACCCUGGUAGUCCACACAGUAAACGAUGAAUACUCGCUGUUUGCGAUAUACAGUAAGCGGCCAAGCGAAAGCAUUAAGUAUUCCACCUGGGGAGUACGCCGGCAACGGUGAAACUCAAAGGAAUUGACGGGGGCCCGCACAAGCGGAGGAACAUGUGGUUUAAUUCGAUGAUACGCGAGGAACCUUACCCGGGCUUAAAUUGCAGUGGAAUGAUGUGGAAACAUGUCAGUGAGCAAUCACCGCUGUGAAGGUGCUGCAUGGUUGUCGUCAGCUCGUGCCGUGAGGUGUCGGCUUAAGUGCCAUAACGAGCGCAACCCUUAUCUUCAGUUACUAACAGGUCAUGCUGAGGACUCUGGAGAGACUGCCGUCGUAAGAUGUGAGGAAGGUGGGGAUGACGUCAAAUCAGCACGGCCCUUACGUCCGGGGCUACACACGUGUUACAAUGGGGGGUACAGAAGGCAGCUAGCGGGUGACCGUAUGCUAAUCCCAAAAGCCUCUCUCAGUUCGGAUCGAAGUCUGCAACCCGACUUCGUGAAGCUGGAUUCGCUAGUAAUCGCGCAUCAGCCACGGCGCGGUGAAUACGUUCCCGGGCCUUGUACACACCGCCCGUCACACCAUGAGAGUUGGGGAUACCCGAAGCCUGUGAGCCAACAUAUCUAUGAGGCAGCAGUCGAAGGUAGAAUCAAUGAUUGGGGUG
rnacentral:rRNA from 1 species